ACUCACUCCUUUCCCUGAACCUACUGGUCCAGCGAGUGGUGCAGCACUCUCCCCCGUUCUCAGAGACAGAGCCUCCAAGGCUGAGCCUCUCCCACCCGCUCCUCCUAGAGCCAUGGAGAACAAGCCCAGAUGAAAACUUCAGCCCCAAAAGACUCCACCGGUAUCGCCAUAAGUCCAAUCCAACAAUUUGCUAGAAAACAAGACUCAGCAGAACAAUUUAGCCGCCCCCCUCCUCACUGGUCUGAUUAAACAAAACAAAAGGGUCAUAUCAAGACAGGCACGGGGGCAUCAAGGCUCACACUCAUCAGUAUCAGUGGAUUUUGGACCAGGCUCCAUUGUUCCAUUCCGUUUACCGGGCUCAUCCACAGGGCGAACACAAUGCUCAGGAAUCCAAAGAGGCCCAUCUGCAUUUUUUUGAAAGACACAAACCGAUCCUCUAAUCCUUAAUGACACUGGAUCAGGGCCCUUCCAAACCCCAGAUGUUAAAUCUUUCCACAGAAACAACGCUUCCUUUACGGGCUUAUUUGGUCUCCAAUGGCGCUCAGCUGCAGAUCUGCCAUCACCAUCCACUAAAAGAAAAUUUAAAAUAUAAAGUAUAAUAGAUAGUUUAUUA